rnacentral:rRNA from 2 species
GUCGACGCGUUGGCCCAAUUGAUUGAUGGUGCUUGCACCUGAUUGAUUUUGGUCGCCAACGAGUGGCGGACGGGUGAGUAACACGUAGGUAACCUGCCCAGAAGCGGGGGACAACAUUUGGAAACAGAUGCUAAUACCGCAUAACAGCGUUGUUCGCAUGAACAACGCUUAAAAGAUGGCUUCUCGCUAUCACUUCUGGAUGGACCUGCGGUGCAUUAGCUUGUUGGUGGGGUAACGGCCUACCAAGGCGAUGAUGCAUAGCCGAGUUGAGAGACUGAUCGGCCACAAUGGGACUGAGACACGGCCCAUACUCCUACGGGAGGCAGCAGUAGGGAAUCUUCCACAAUGGGCGCAAGCCUGAUGGAGCAACACCGCGUGAGUGAAGAAGGGUUUCGGCUCGUAAAGCUCUGUUGUUAAAGAAGAACACGUAUGAGAGUAACUGUUCAUACGUUGACGGUAUUUAACCAGAAAGUCACGGCUAACUACGUGCCAGCAGCCGCGGUAAUACGUAGGUGGCAAGCGUUAUCCGGAUUUAUUGGGCGUAAAGAGAGUGCAGGCGGUUUUCUAAGUCUGAUGUGAAAGCCUUCGGCUUAACCGGAGAAGUGCAUCGGAAACUGGAUAACUUGAGUGCAGAAGAGGGUAGUGGAACUCCAUGUGUAGCGGUGGAAUGCGUAGAUAUAUGGAAGAACACCAGUGGCGAAGGCGGCUACCUGGUCUGCAACUGACGCUGAGACUCGAAAGCAUGGGUAGCGAACAGGAUUAGAUACCCUGGUAGUCCAUGCCGUAAACGAUGAGUGCUAGGUGUUGGAGGGUUUCCGCCCUUCAGUGCCGGAGCUAACGCAUUAAGCACUCCGCCUGGGGAGUACGACCGCAAGGUUGAAACUCAAAGGAAUUGACGGGGGCCCGCACAAGCGGUGGAGCAUGUGGUUUAAUUCGAAGCUACGCGAAGAACCUUACCAGGUCUUGACAUCUUGCGCCAACCCUAGAGAUAGGGCGUUUCCUUCGGGAACGCAAUGACAGGUGGUGCAUGGUCGUCGUCAGCUCGUGUCGUGAGAUGUUGGGUUAAGUCCCGCAACGAGCGCAACCCUUGUUACUAGUUGCCAGCAUUAAGUUGGGCACUCUAGUGAGACUGCCGGUGACAAACCGGAGGAAGGUGGGGACGACGUCAGAUCAUCAUGCCCCUUAUGACCUGGGCUACACACGUGCUACAAUGGACGGUACAACGAGUCGCGAACUCGCGAGGGCAAGCAAAUCUCUUAAAACCGUUCUCAGUUCGGACUGCAGGCUGCAACUCGCCUGCACGAAGUCGGAAUCGCUAGUAAUCGCGGAUCAGCAUGCCGCGGUGAAUACGUUCCCGGGCCUUGUACACACCGCCCGUCACACCAUGAGAGUUUGUAACACCCAAAGUCGGUGGGGUAACC